AGGAAAAGGCUCUGGGCGUCUCCCUGCUACCUGGGGACUGGCUCUACCCCAGGAAGUUGGCAUUCUUGGCUGAGGGGACUCAUGGAAGGAGCCACUUUCUCCUGGUGAAGAGCUUGUGGCACCAAGAGGCAGGCACAUCUCUGCUGCUUUUUGACCAAGGAAUAAGCGGGUCGAUGGCUUCAUCUCUAGAGAAGAAGCAGCUAAAAUGGCUGAGAGAACCUGGGAAGGAGAGAUGCAGCCAGAUCUGCUUCUGCUCCCCAGGCCCCUCAUUCUGGAAUCCUGGGAAGUCCAUCCUGAAGUCUAGCUUUGAAC